CUUGUGGCAAAGCUGCCAGACUGUCAGUCCCAAAUCAAAAUAAAUGUCUGUCAAUCAGCUGAAGUUUUCAGUAUUUUUAUUAACUUUUACUAGUUAGUGAGUUGUUGUUUCUUUACGAAUCGGACAAUUAGUACAGUUUUGUGUAGUCUUCAAAGUGUCUGCUGCUUGAGGGCCAUAAGUGAGCAUUUUCCCAAAUUUACCUAACCUCACUUGGGGCUGUAUUUUUAUGUGUUGAUGGCAGAACAUGGCUGGAGAAUCACUGGUAGUAGAGGCCCUGUAUGGCUUUAAAGGCAGCAACAAUGAUGAGCUGUGCUUUAAGAAGGGCGAUGUGAUCACGGUCACACAGAAGGACGACGGAUGGUGGGAGGGAACUUUCGAUGGGAAAACUGGAUGGUUUCCCAGUAACUAUGUGAAGGAAUGCAAAGGUAACACGAAUUUGUAUUUUAUUCAAAUACUGUUUUUAUUCUCAAGUGCUGAAAGUAGAUCUAGUUUUAUGAGAUUUGAAUGACAACUUUAAAUUUGA
rnacentral:lncRNA from 1 species